rnacentral:lncRNA from 1 species
CCAGUUUGUUCACCUUAAACGCUACGACAAAAGCUACAUAAACAAAUGACCAAACCUCUAACGAGCAAAUACAUUUUAACAAGUUGAAGGCUAACUUUGAAAACUAAAACGAUUAUUCAAUUUCAUAUUCAAGAUAUAUAACGUGGAGCAAAAGAUCAACAUCUUCAACAAACGUGUUGAAUUACAUAUAUUAUACAGAGUAGAUGAAUUUUAUUCAACCAUACAGAAACACAAACAAAAUAAUAGUUGACAGAAGAGUCAGGAUACACAUGUUGGAGGCAAAACUUAAAAUAAGAGGGUGAUUGGAGUAUCAUAUUGAAUGGCGAAUUUCCCUAUCUUUUCUUGUGCUUCUAUAUGUACUCAGAAGAAUGAAUCUCAUUUAACNN